rnacentral:lncRNA from 1 species
UCGCCCCCGCUGCCGCAGAAGCUCUGCAGCCGUUCGCCGGAACCAAAAGCCUCCAGAUCCGCUCGUCUAUAAGGGGGUGAUUGGUUGCCCCAACGGGAUGGUGCAAAGGCCUAUCCGGCUCCAUUUGAUGCACUCGGCCCGUGUUUGGUUGCUCGUCUCGUAUUAUUUGCCUGUAUCAUUCUUUCGUUCCUUUCCACCCCUCCAUCCUGGCUCCCUCCGUCUCCUCGAGGCGAGCUUCCCUCAUGAGCCAGGACGGCACGGCGCGGCGUUGGAACCCUGGGCGCGCGCGGGAAGGCUUGGCGGGAGACGAAUCCAUCAGGGGCGCGCACGAUUCUGGAGUUAGGGUUACCGCCUCCAUUUCUCCAGUCCCCUCAUGCCUCCAUUCCUCCGGUGACCUCUGCUUCCUACUCCCGGCCGGUUUCUCACCGGCAUCUCCCUCCGGCAACAGUUCUCCGUUGCCUCGGCUGGUAUACCUCGCCUUACCCCUCUUCCUCUUUCUCUGAUUUCGUCGUCUGUGAUUCUGCCUAGGGUUCGUGUUCUUCUUGCUCGUACCCAUAGAUCUAUGAGUUCAUGGUGCAAACCACUUGUUCCUGGCUCAGAUCUAUUUGUUUUACUAUGAUUCUGCUAUGGAUUUAACUAAGCACAGUGCAUGGGUCGAUGAUUAUUACUAUUUCCUGCUAGAUUAGGCAGUGGAGGAGCACCUGUUGGUGUGGCAGCCCUGUCUGUCUAUGUGCCGAUGUGGGGAUUCUGUGAUGUGGACAGAUCCACCUUGGAGGUGGAUGUCCUGGGACCUGCUGUGGAUUUGGUUAUAUUUGCUCAUGGGUUUUGUUCAUGAUGGAGGUAAUGGUUGGGUUCUUGCUUGGCCUAUGAUGCAACUACUUCUAAUCUGAGGUGGCUCUUUUUGUUACCCUGUUUUUGAUCCUUUGUCAAUGCAACCGAAUGGUCAAUGCCAUUCUGGAUGGCUGACAGUGGAAUUUUGUGAAGUCAUUGCUAUUUGUGCCAUCAAUGAUGAAAUUAGUAUGAGAAACAACCAUAUUUCUGAGGCCAAUGUUUGAUUUGCCAAUUCGAAUUCAAUUUUGCUCACUCUUAUUUGGUCUCUUUCAUAUUUGCCUAUGAUGAAAUACUUGUGAUGAAGAUGUCUUGUUUGAAUGUGAUGUGGUGGUAAGCACACCAAACCAAUACCUGGGUGCUCACACCACUAGUCAUAUGCGCGUAUCAAACACAUCAAACUGUAUUAGUUUGUUCACCUAAAGGAUCCGUCCAGGCAACCAAUCACACUCGCAACCAUCAAAUAUCACUAGGUCUUUGUGAACCAAACACGAGACCCUCCACGGUUUCAGCGUGCCUGAAACCGGCCUGGACUACCCCUCCAUCCUGGCCCAAAUCGGUUUGGGCAACCAAUCACCCCCUAAGCUCCUCGCUGGCCUCCGCCACUAAUUUGGCAUCCUCACUCUCCCCAGCCUGCUGGCAGCGGCGUCGGCGCCCCUUGGACCAUCACUGUCCGAGGCAUCCUCGCUCUCCCCAGCCUGCCGGCAGCGGCGUCGGCGCCCCCUGGACCAUCGCUCUCCGACGGCGACCUCCUCGAGCUCGACGUGCUCUGGCCGGCCACGCCGUCGUCCGUGGUAGGGCUCAGCCUCCUCACCACGCUCCCGGGGGUCGGGGGGCCGUCCAAUCCGCCGCGCGCCCCGUCGCGGAGACCGCCGCGGGAUCCUGUUCCACGAUGGCGGCGAGGUCGGCGCCGGUGUGGAUACCGUCCGAUUGGCAGCCUCCAGAUCCGCGCCUCUGUAAGCUCCUCGCCGGCCUCCGCCACGAUUUGGCAUCCUCGCUCUCCCCAUCCUACCGGCGGCAGCGCCCCUUGGACCAUCGUUGUCCCACCCACCCCUACCCGUCCCGACCCACGCUGUGGCCUCUGCGGGCGCCGACGACGACCUCCUCAAGCUCGACGUGCUCUGGCCAGCCACGCCGUCGUCCGCGGUGGGGCUCAGCCUCCUCGCCGCGCUCCCAGGGGUUAGGGGCUCCGCUCAAUCCGCCGCGCGCCCCGUCCCAUAGGCUGAUAUGCAUCAAUUUGAUGUUGAUUUAGGUUUCCUUUUGCGAUAUGCCUAGCUGCUUGAGAUUUUAUUGUUUUCCGGAUCGAUGAAAGAGAUCUGACUAAAACUCUUUCGGUGAACAGAUUCAAGGAUAUGUGUUCGGUGUUGGUUUUUACCGCCUUACCAGACGAGAACGAGCGAGACAGAGGCCUUGUUUAGUUCUAACCCAAAAACCAAAAAGUUUUCAAGUCUCUGUCAUAUCAAAUUUUGCAGCACAUGCAUGAAGCAUUAAAUAUAGACAAAAACAAAAACUAAUUACACAGUUUGUCUGUAAAUCACGAGACGAAUCUUUUGACCCUAGUUAGUCCAUAAUUAGAUAAUAUUUGCCACAAACAAACGAAAAUGCUACAGUAGUGAAAUCCAAAAAAAUUUCGCAUCUAAACAAGGCCCGAUAUAGAUAGAUAGGCCAGACGAAAACCUGGACAGAUGAAAAACACGGCUGAAAUUUUACCUCUUUAGUAUUAGGUAUAGAUUAGUAUUAGGUAUAGAUUAUUAACCCUCUUCUUUCAAGGUAGGCUUAGCCACUUAGGAUUUGUUUAGAUUUAUUUUUAUUUGGACACUGUAGCAUUUUCGUUUUUAUUUAACAAACAUUGUUCAAUUAUGAAGUAACUAGGCUUAAAAGAUUCGUCUUGUGAUUUACAGGCAAACUGUGCAAUUAGUUUUGUUUUUAUCUAUAUAUAAUGCUCCAUGCAUAUAUGUCAUAAGAUUCGGUGUGACGGGGAACUUUGAAAAUUUUUUUGGUUUUUGAAGUGAACUAAACAAGGCCUUAGGAAGAAGAAGAACGCACCUGGCUGGCAGCUACUUUGAGUAAAUAAAAGAAGAGAGAAUCAAGGAUGUGCCCCUCACAAUGGGUCCAAUAUAAUCGCAUGUCAGUGAGGGGAAUAGCAGGUUGGCACUGAAGCUGCUGCAGGUUUCUUGGACCCCCGAGGUUUAAAUUAGUGGAGCACCAGGGGUCGUGGUGCCGUGCUCGUCGUCAGUGACAAAGUAACUGAUAUGAACACUCCCACGUGCAAAAUCGAGAGACCAGUCUGCUCGCUUUCUCUGAAUCAUAUCCUUCGAUUCUUGCAACACACAGAAGCUUUGAGUCUGAGCUUUGAAGCUAGCUAGGCGGACACUCAACAAGGAGAUGCUGCAUGCAUGAAAGCUUUGCACGAAGAUGAUGGCAGGUGAGCUGCAACUGUGCAAUGAUCGGAAGCUGAAUCCCCGGUGCGUGCGUGGCUACCAGUGCACUCUAGUCCUCUUUCCUGACUAGAAUAAAACGUCUCAGUUUCAAGUUUGAACUCCUGAUCUCAAGCCUCUAAAAUUUGAUCAAGCCUCUCUUGACCCAGUUGUAACUUGGAUGCCCUCAACUCUAUGAGCUUGGAGAUGGCUAGUGCACUAGCACUAAUUAAAUCCCAGUGGAGCCAACUAGGUAGCUGUCACAGGUUUGUGAACACACACAGCUUGGCGGCUCCGUUCCCGUUGUGAUAUCAGACUACAUCCAGUUCAACAGCCUAUUCGAGCAAAGCAAGAUAGUGCACCCCACUGUCACUUUUUUCUAGGAAGCAGAAGUCUAGCAUUAGAAUUUUCAACAACUAGCAGGCUAUACAGAUUAAGAAAUUCUUGAUACGAGGUGACAAGACAUCAUAUUGCAGCUUUGGAUGCUUCAAAGCAUAUCAAAUUAUAAUGCUAAAUAACUAAAUCAUGGAAAUCAAUUUUUCAGAACCUUGCAUUCCUAUGUGCAUCUGGCCUAUUGACAGAUCCGAACAGUUCAAUGCAAGGCAAAACAAUGCACCAUUUCAGAUUACAAAGAGCUGACACCAGAGGUACAUACUUGAAGAAAUUAUAAUUUGUUGCAUCUACAUGGCAAUUAGAGCAGAAAAUCUUCAUUCGCUCAUCAACCAAGAAACAAUAGAACUAACCAACCGUGAGCAAUUGCAACAUCGUUUGGAGCUCAAGCCUGUAAUCAUGUGUUUCACCUGGACUUGCUUCUGUGCAGCUCAUAACACUUCUGCGGCUAAGCUCGUUCCAUCAUUGCCAUUGAUGUCAGCGUCGUCAGCAGCAGCACUAUGCAAACAAAUUGGUCUGUCCUCGCCAUAUUCUAGAAGCUUACAGAAUAUCUGAUCUUUUAUCUAAUGUUGUAGAGCUCUAAAAAAUAUUAUCAACUACAAAUAUGUAAAACAUAUUGAGAGCUACAACUUUAGUGUAGAUUACGUCAGAAUUCAGGUUGUUUGAAAAAUUGAAAAAAAAUCAAAAUCAAAAUUAGAGAACUUGAAACAAACAUUUGGGCCUCUAACAACCUCAGGUAAAAAAGUUAUCAACUACAAAGUUGUAGAUCAUACUGGAAACUACAAUUUUGGUAGAGACUAUGUCAACAUCCGAGGUCUUUUGAAAAAAUAAAAAAAAUGAAUUUUAAGAUCUGGUAGCUUAAAACGAAUAUUUUUCACCACUGUACUUUUAUAUUGUAGCUCCAGAGUUCCGAUAAAUGUAGCACGAAUGGUAAUGCAUGGUAGAAUGAUUACAGAAUUACUCCACAGAACUGGGACUCUGAUGAUCAAUACCAUCAGCUCUAUGCAAGGAGAUAAUACUUUUGCUAAUUGCGGACAGUUAAACAGUACCUUAUCCUGAAAACCUAAUUUACAUAAGUUAAGAACCGAAUAAGCCAAUGUUGGUAGUCAACUGUUUCUGAUUUCUGGUUCAGAGCAGUACAACAAAACAAAAUCAACUAAUUGGCAUCAAGGCAAGUAAGUACAUUGAAAAAGAACAUGGAUGCAUGCAGCAUGAUGAGUUGCUAAAUUGUGACUGAUUGUCUGUACAUAUCAUUUGGGACACACUAAGGAUAUGCACUUUACAACAAGGACAACUUUGGAUGGUACCUGAGACAACAGGAUGACAAUGCCAGUCCAAUGGAUUUGCAUUCCCAUUCUGGAAGCCUGUACUGGCAUUUUGAUUGUACAAGGGACCAACAUGAAUCCAGCAGACCAGAGAUUCAUUCAAGUGGGCAAGUUAUGCUGUGGGCUACAGAUGCAGAGAUGCUUUCAAUCCUUGACAUCAGUGACACCCUCAGAUGAUAUUUGAAACCUUGCUUCAGCUUCAGCCAGACAGGGAGAGCUGACUACUUUACAGAUCCGCUCCUCCCUUCUUCCCUUGCGAAGAAAGAGCCUGAUACAAAACGCGACAAUGAGUAACUGAACAAAAAUAAAAUGGAGAUGUUAUGUUACUUGGUGUAGCUCACCUAGUUGUGGAAGCAUGAGCCAUGAUGUUUCCUCCAAUGGGCUUGAUCUGUGGCCCAGCAAACACUGCAGCACCAUCCACUUGAGCCACUACUUGGUUCGUUAUUACCACUGCUACUCCAAACUAGAGACAGCCAAAAAAGGACCCAAAACAAUAAAAAUACUAUGUGCACCAAAUAGGCAUGAGACUCAAUAUGUUGUUGAUAUACUUGGUUAACUAACCAAACAACUUGCAGCAGAAUCAAUAGUUGUCCGAUAAUUUGGUAGCAAUAAUGUUUGCAUGACGACCAAAUGUAUGUAUUGCAAUAUAUCUAACAUUUCAUAAUUCAUCAUGAGUGAUCAAAGGACAAGCUGAUUACUGCUAAACUUCUGUUUUUCCAUAACUGGGCUAACCCUAGAGGGUUAGGAAUAUAGUGUCAUACACAUGGGCCUCAUGGGCCUAGCCUCAUGGGCCUAUACUCUAACAACCCCCCGCAGUCUGAACUACCGUCGCAGCGGAGUUUACAGACUGGACACGAAAGAAAAGAAGUACAACACACGAGCCCCCCCACAGACACAACUAGCCACUGGUGAUGUUGAGGCUGGUGCGGAACUCGGUGAAGGUCGAGGACGGGAGACCCUUGGUGAAGAUGUCGGCGAACUGGGAGGUGGUCGGGACGUGAAGGACCCGAACAUCGCCGACAGCGACCCAGUCCCGGACGAAGUGUAGGUCGAUCUCCACGUGCUUGGUCCUCUGGUGUUGGACCGGGUUGGUGGAGAGCUACACCGCACUGACGUUGUCGCAGUAGACCAGUGCGCUCCGGGAGAGAGGACUGUGGAGCUCGGCGAGGAGCUGACGGAGCCACGAAGCCUCAGCCACGCCGUUGGCGACAGCGCGGUACUCCGCCUCGACACUGGAGCGGGAGACGACUGGCUGGCGCUUGGACGACCAAGACACCAGGUUGCCGCCUAAGAAGACGGCGUAGCCGGAGGUGGAGCGGCGGGUGUCCGGACACCCGGCCCAGUCGGCGUCAGUGUCGACGACGAGCUCGGUGGAAGGCGACCGUCGGUGAAGGAGGAGACCGAAGUCGACGGUGCCGCGGAGGUAGCGUAGGAUCCGCUUGAGAGCGGUGAGGUGUGGCUCCCGAGGAUCAUGCAUAUGAAGACAGAUAUGCUGAACUGCAUAGGUGAUAUCCGGGCGGGUGAAGGUGAGGUACUGAAGUGCCCCGGCAAGACUCCGAUAUGCAGUAGGAUCUUUAACAGGUGUACCCUCAGCCUCCGAGAUCUUGCCCUGUGUGUCAACUGGAGAGUGGAGCAGGGCUUGCAGUCAGUCAUCCCAGCUCUCUCCAGGAUAUCAAGAGUGUACUGCCGCUGGUGAAGGAGUAAUCCAGCAGGGUGAGGCUCAACAGUGACCCCGAGGAAGUGAUGUAGUGCACCCAGAUCCUUCAUAGCAAACUCCUGCUGAAGAGAGGCGAUGAUCCGCCGAAGGAGUGACUCACUGGAGGCUGUGAGGACAAUGUCAUCAACAUAGAGCAGCAGAUAUGCAGUCUCAGUCCCAUGGUGAAAGAUGAACAGAGAUGUAUCUGACUUGGCCUCCACAAACCCCAGAGUCUGUAGAAAAGUAGCAAAUCGAUGGUUCCACGCUCGGGGGGCCUGCUUGAGGUCGUAGAGAGACUUGUUGAGCCGACACACCAUGUCGGGACGAGAAGAGUCAACAAACCCCGCCGGCUGACUGCAGUAGACUGUCUCAGUCAGAACGCCAUGUAGGAAGGCAUUCUUGACGUCCAGCUGAUGCACGGGCCACCCGCGCGUGAGAGCAAGCGAAAGCACCGUGCGGACGGUGGCCGGCUUGACCACCGGGCUGAAGGUCUCGUCGUAGUCGACACCGGGCCGCUGAGUGAAGCCCCGGAGAACCCAGCGAGCCUUGUACCGCUCAAGGGUCCCGUCAGCCCGGCGCUUGUGGGUCCAGAUCCACUUGCCGGUGACGAUGUUGGAGCCCGGGGGACGAGGGACGAGAUCCCAAGUCUGGUUGGCGAGGAGGGCCGCGUACUCCUCUUCCAUCGCUCGGCGCCAGUGAGGGUCCAGCAAGGCCUCGCGGACGGAAGAGGGUACCGGUGAGACCUGCGAGUCCCCGGGCAUCGCCGCAAGAGCCCGGGGCUGCAGGGUCCCAGCCGCGUGUCGCGUCACCAUCGGGUGAACAUGACGCGGGUGUUGGUGAAGGAGCGGAGGGUGGUACACCGGCGUCGCGGCCCGAGAAGCUGGGUGUCUCGGCGGUGGGGUUGGUGUCGCCGACGGGGAAGACGUCGCCGGUGGCGCAGGUGACCCCGGCGAGGUGGGGGCCACCGGCGCCGCCGGAGGCAGCGGCGCCAGCCGGGCACGUCGCUGGUAGACGCGCACCGGCUGGGCGAAACGUGCUGGUGGGGCUGGAGUCGGAGACGCCGACCCGGGACCCACGUCGGGUGCACGUCGCUGGUAGACACGCACCGGCUGGGCGAAGCAUGCCGGUGGGGCCGGUGUCGAAGGUGCCGACCCGGGACCCGCGUCAGGCGCAGGGGCCGGGCCGGAAGGUGACCCCUCGGGACCCGGCCCCGAGGUGUCACGGGCGACAGGCGACGUAGCAGUACCUGCAGGAAACACCGUCAAAGGUGGCUCGACCACCGGGUCAGUAGGAAACACAGAGGAGAGGUCAAGCUCCGAGGUGGAAGCAGGAGUGGUAGUGGUGGAAAAGGGAAAGAUCGACUCAUCGAACACCACAUGGCGAGAUAUGAGGACUCGACGAGAGGUAAGGUCGUAGCAUCGGUACCCCUUGUGAUCCGGGGAGUACCCAAGGAAGACACAGAGAGUCGAACGGGGAGCCAGCUUGUGAGGAGCGGUGGCUGUGGUGUUCGGGUAACACGCACACCCAAAGACUCGAAGGUGAUCAUAGCGAGGAGGGGUACCAAAGAGAGCGUGGUGUGGGGUGGGUGCUGGACAAGCAGCGGAAGGAAGGCGGUUAAGGAGAUAAGUGGAGGUGUGCAAGCUCUCGGCCCAGAAGCGAGCAGAAAGAGAGGCCUGAAGCAGGAGAGUGCGCAGGGUGUCGUUGGUGGUGCGAAUCAUGCGCUCAGCCUUGCCGUUUUGAGAGGAGGUAUAUGGGCAAGACAUGCGCAACUGGACACCGUGAGAGAGAAAGAAGGCGCGGGAGGCGGAGUUGUCGAACUCCCGACCAUUGUCACACUGGACAGCCUUGACAGUGAGGCCGAACUGUGUGGACACCCAAGCGAAAAAGUGGACAAGCGCGGGAAAAGCAUCAGACUUUGCACGUAAAGGAAAAGUCCAGGAAUAAUGAGAAUAAUCAUCCACCACCACAAGAUAGUACUUGUAUCCAGAAAUACUGAUGACAGGAGAGGUCCAUAAGUCACAAUGUACAAGGUCAAAAAUGCGGGCCGCAUGAGAAGAAGAACUAGAAAAAGGAAGACGAACAUGACGGCCCAGUUGGCACGCAUGACACAAAUGCUCAUCGUGAGCCCGAGUACAUCGAAUAUCGGAACUACGACUAAGCUGCAUCAAAGCAUCACGUCCAGGAUGGCCGAGACGCCGGUGCCAAGUAGUGGAGGUAGCGGUGGUGAAGGCAGCUGACAAAACUGGCGAAGGAGGCGAGACAGAUGCCGGAAAACGAAGAGUGUAAAGGGGCCCCGUGCUAUCACAUCGGAGCAGAGGACGCCGGGAAGCCAAAUCCUUCACAGUAAGACCAGAAGAGUCAAACUCCACAGAACAAGAAUUGUCAGCUGUAAAACGACGAAUUGAAAGAAGGUUGUGAACCAUAGAAGGAGCAACAAGAACAUCAGGAAGACAAAAGGAACCAUGGGGGCCGGCGGCACCCACAGAGGUGACAGGAAGACAAGACCCAUUAGCGACCAUAAUGGACGAAGGGAGAGAAGGAGAAGGAGGGUGAACAGAAGAAAGUAUACCGGGGUUAGGAGUGGUGUGGUAAGUAGCCCCAAAGUCGGCGACCCACUCCGGCCCAACUGGAGGAGUCAGGGCCAUGGUGCUGAAAGAGUGCGCCAAGGCCGCCUGGUCCCAGCCGGCAGUCCCGGUGGGUGCCGUCCACGGGGUCACAGAGGGAAACCCCGCGGAAGCACCAGCGAGCAUGGCCGCCGGCGGGCGAGGCUCUCCACCGGGAGCCUAGAACGGCCACAUGGAGAUGCGCCCUGACCAUGGGUUGUGGAAGGAUGGCCAGGGUGCACCUCGUGGGCCCGGCGGCGUCGUGGUGCCCCCGCGACCUCCUCCACGUCCCCCGCCACGGCGUCGGCGGCCGCCACGGCCCCCCCCCCACCCCCGCUCGGCCCAGGGGGAAGAGGACCAAGGAGUGACGACUGUGGUGACGGAGUAGGACAGGGCGGAGGAGUGGCAGCGAGAGCAGUCGAGGAGGACGAGGACCCCGAGGCGGAGGUGGACCCAGGCUGCAGACCCUGAGUGAGCUCCUCCAUGACAAGGUCGUCACGGACCUGCAGGAAGGUGGGGAAGGGCCGCUGCCGGGUGAUCCACGUCCGGAGGUAGGAGUAGCGGUCACUGAGCCCGUGGAGAACGUUGAGGACCAAGAUGCGGUCCUCCACGGGCCAGCCGAGGUCGCCGAGAGAGUUCGCCAUGCCCUUCAUCUAGCGGCAGUACUCGCUGACGGAGAGGUCGCCCUGGACGAAGGUCCGGAAGCUCGCGUCGAGCCGCAGAGCCCGGGCUUCGGCGUUGCCCAGGAACUGGCCCUCGAGCGCCAGCCAGGCCCCGCGAGCGCUCGGGGUGUUGCGGACGUGGUCGUGGAGGUCCAGGGAGAUCGUCCCCAGAAUCCAAGAGAGGACGAUGCUGUCGAGGCGUAGCCACGAGGGGGUCGGGACCGCCCCCGCGGUGUCGAGGAGGACGUGGUCGUCGAGGGCGUAGCGGCGGAGGGUGAGGAGGACCAAGUCCCUCCAGCGAGCGUAGGAGGGCGACUCGGGCUCGAGGACGACCGGGACAAGGAGGCGGAUGUUCUGGACACCCCCAGCCUGGUAGUGGAGCUGCACCACGUGGGGAUCGGCCGGAUCAUGCCAGACGACCGCAGCCGAUCCCGAGGACGUGGUCCCGACGUCAGGUGAGGCCGGAAGGCCAAGGAACUGCUCGGCCUCGGUGAUCUGGCGGGCCAAGGCGUCGGCCGCGUCGCGCUCGCGCUCCCAAGCGAGUGCGGCCGCCCGCACGCGUUCCCGUCCUUCCGCAGCCGCAGCGCGAGCAGUGACGAGAGCGGCGAGUAGGGUGGAGUCCGGACGAUGGAUCACUGGCGGCGGAGGUGGUGCAGGGAAGGGAGGGAAGGUUGGCGCGCCUCCCGCACCUGCAGCCGCGCUCGGGCCAGCGGUCAGCCUCCUGGACAGGGCGCCCGCAGUUGUGAGCAGCGUUCCGGGCAGAGCAGUCCCGUCCAGGGGCAUGCCAAGGCCAGCAGCAAUGGCAGCAGCUGCUCCCCGGGCGUAGGCGGCUGUUGUCGUGGCGUCUGACAAGCCCAGGGAGUCCGUGAGGUGGCCAUGAAGACCGGCGACCUGGGCAGGCGCGGCUGCGACGGCCUCUGCAUCCACGGCCGCCGGAUCGGCGCGGUCCGCAGCUCCCGCGGCCGCAUUCGCCCCGCGCGCGGCAGCCUGUGCACGCGCCGCGGCCUCUGCGCGCGCCGCGGCUUCCGUAGCGCCCGCCCCCCGCCGCGUGCGCCUCUGCGCGCCCCGCGACCUCUGGAGCGCCCGCCCCCGCCAGCCCCGCGCGCGCCGCUAGAGCAGCAGCCGCGCCGGCGGCCAGGGCAGCAGAGUCGCCGGAAACGGGCCUGGGCGACGGGUGACCCGCGAUUUGCGCCCAGGAGGAGGUUGGGAGAGGAGGGAACUGAUUGAAGUAGAAGGGAGGAGGAGGAGGAGGCCGGCCGGCCAUGGCCGCCGGCGGCGCGCCGGCCAGAGGUGGGCGGCGGCUGGGGUGGGCAGGGACAGGGUGGGAAGGAAACCCUAAGCUGAUACCAUGCUAAACUUCUGUUUUUCCAUAACUGGGCUAACCCUAGAGGGUUAGGAAUAUAGUGUCAUACACAUGGGCCUCAUGGGCCUAGCCUCAUGGGCCUAUACUCUAACAAUUACCUCAUCUGCUAACUUCUGAAGGCUCCUAAGAAACUUAGCCAGAUGCAUCUGCCUUGCUGAUAGCUCCCCUCUACCAGAGAAAUCAGUUCUGUAUAGGGCUGUAGCACUAUCCACAACCAUAAGAGCAAACCUGCAGACAUAGAGCUCCACUUCAAAGACACUGGCAUGGGAAACAUGAUAAACCAAGAUUAUGAGCAUAUGCUUGGUAAAAGAAAAUGGACUUCGAAUUUUCGAGAUUGUGAAAUAACAAAGCCAUUAACAAUUCAGGAUCGGAGUGUCUUUAUGACAAGAUGUAGAAACCUGAUACAUGCCUUGUUACUUGCUACAUCAGCAUUAUCAAACAAAAAUGCUUUCGCAUUGGGCUACUUGAGUAGGAUCCUCCUAUCUAAAGCAAAUGUAACAAAUCUGUUCUGUAAGAGAUCUGUUUGAAUAGCACAUAGGUCUUCUCUAAUGCAACAUUAAUGUACCUAUGUCAUAUCCUAAUCAUGAGAGGCUAAAAGGCUUUAGUAAGAAAAAGAGCAUCUGAUACUCUAUUAAAAUUACCAGCAAAGCACAGAUGAUGCAUGUACAUGAACAUAUCAUGGACGGCCAGACUCCAAUGUGUUCCUGAAUGUAAUGCAGUUUGGGGAUCACAGCUUAGUAUCCUUUGCUUUUUCCCAUGGGGAUCAUAACUGAAAUUUCUUUAAUUGUUGAUAGCCACUUACUGAACAUCUGUUCCUACUUUAUUAUUACAGCACCUUCCAAACGCCCAAGUGAAACUAGGAGGCAAGUGGAGUUAUAUACUUCCUUAAAUUUCAGGUACUAUGAUUUUAGCAAUUUUCUCCUUUUCUAACUGAUAUAUUCUAUAACUCACUAGUCCAGAUAGAAGCUAACUACAACAAAUGG